UUGUGUCGACUUGUUGCUCUGAUCAGUUCGUCUUCGUGAGAUCUGGUAACAUCAGAGGCUUAGAUUUAAUUGUCUCCCUCGUUUGGGCUGUUGUCUCCCUCUUUUGGGCUUAGCUUCUCUUCCCCGACUAAGAUAGUCUUUGUUAGUUUGGGGUUGAGCUCUUUGAUUAUGUCUGGAUUUUAUCUCAUCUAGGAUUAAGCGAUGGUUUGCUUAAUUAUUUGAUCGUUGUGGCGUUGAAAGGUCUAAGUGGUUCUCGAUUAUCUUACGGUUCAUCCGGGAGACCCUUGACAAAGGCACUCAUUGAAAAAGAAGCAUCAUUUACGGAGAAGGCCAAGUUCCACUCUCUUGUUUUUGCCAUAAGUGUUGAAGCCCGUCUUCAUAGUUUGUUGUGCGGGAAGUCCUUGUGGUGAGCUUCGAGAGCUUCGUUUAGUCUCGAGACAAGAUUUGUUUGGUCUUUGCAAUGUUUUUUCGAAAACUCCCUUCCUCGUUGUAGGUUAUGGGUCGAGCAUUGUGUCUCUUUGAAGUUUAAUCUCUUCUUUACUCAGGUGUAUUGUAACAUUUCCGAAUCAAUAUCAAUAUAAUUCAGUGAAAAAA
rnacentral:lncRNA from 1 species